AUGAACGCUGGCGGCGUGCCUAAUACAUGCCAGUCGAGCGAACAGACGAGGAGCUUGCUCCUCUGACGUUAGCGGCGGACGGGUGAGUAACACGUGGAUAACCUACCUAUAAGACUGGGAUAACUUCGGGAAACCGGAGCUAAUACCGGAUAAUAUAUUGAACCGCAUGGUUCCAUAGUGAAAGACGGUUUUGCUGUCACUUAUAGAUGGAUCCGCGCCGCAUUAGCUAGUUGGUAAGGUAACGGCUUACCAAGGCAACGAUGCGUAGCCGACCUGAGAGGGUGAUCGGCCACACUGGAACUGAGACACGGUCCAGACUCCUACGGGAGGCAGCAGUAGGGAAUCUUCCGCAAUGGGCGAAAGCCUGACGGAGCAACGCCGCGUGAGUGAUGAAGGUCUUCGGAUCGUAAAACUCUGUUAUUAGGGAAGAACAAAUGUGUAAGUAACUAUGCACGUCUUGACGGUACCUAAUCAGAAAGCCACGGCUAACUACGUG
rnacentral:rRNA from 1 species